rnacentral:rRNA from 1 species
UACAGAGGUCUCAAGCGUUGUUCGGAUUCAUUGGGCGUAAAGGGUGCGUAGGCGGCGCGGUAAGUCGGGUGUGAAAGCCCUCAGCUCAACUGAGGAAGUGCGCCCGAAACUGCAGAGCUUGAGUGCCGGAGAGGGUGGCGGAAUUCCCCAAGUAGAGGUGAAAUUCGUAGAUAUCGGGAGGAACACCAGUGGCGAAGGCGGCGAUCUGGGAAGAUACUGACGCUGAGGCGCGAAAGCGUGGGGAGCAAACGGG